rnacentral:rRNA from 1 species
GAUGAACGCUGGCUACAGGCUUAACACAUGCAAGUCGAGGGGAAACGGCAUUGAGUGCUUGCACUCUUUGGACGUCGACCGGCGCACGGGUGAGUAACGCGUAUCCAACCUUCCCAUUACUGUGGGAUAACCUGCCGAAAGGCAGACUAAUACCGCAUAGUCUUCGUUGACGGCAUCCGAUAUGAAGUAAAGAUUUAUCGGUAAUGGAUGGGGAUGCGUCUGAUUAGCUUGUUGGCGGGGUAACGGCCCACCAAGGCAACGAUCAGUAGGGGUUCUGAGAGGAAGGUCCCCCACAUUGGAACUGAGACACGGUCCAAACUCCUACGGGAGGCAGCAGUGAGGAAUAUUGGUCAAUGGACGGAAGUCUGAACCAGCCAAGUAGCGUGCAGGAUGACGGCCCUAUGGGUUGUAAACUGCUUUUGUAUGGGGAUAAAGUUAGGGACGUGUCCCUAUUUGCAGGUACCAUACGGAUAAGGACCGGCUAAUUCCGUGCCAGCAGCCGCGGUAAUACGGAAGGUCCAGGCGUUAUCCGGAUUUAUUGGGUUUAAAGGGAGCGUAGGCUGGAGAUUAAGUGUGUUGUGAAAUGUAGACGCUCAACGUCUGAAUUGCAGCGCAUACUGGUUUCCUUGAGUACGCACAACGUUGGCGGAAUCCGUCGUGCAGCGGUGAAAUGCUUAGAUAUGACGAAGAACUCCGAUUGCGAAGGCAGCUGACGGGAGCGCAACUGACGCUUAAGCUCGAAGGUGCGGGUAUCGAACAGG